rnacentral:rRNA from 1 species
AGGGUUCGAUUCUGGCUCAGGAUGAACGCUGGCGGCGUGCUUAACACAUGCAAGUCGAACGGGGAACCAUUUGUAGCAAUAUAGGUGGUCUAGUGGCGGACGGGUGAGUAACGCGUGAGGAACCUGCCUUGGAGAGGGGAAUAACACAUUGAAAGAUGUGCUAAUACCGCAUGAUAUAUCAAUUUCGCAUGGGAUUGAUAUCAAAGAUUAAUCGCUCUGAGAUGGCCUCGCGUCUGAUUAGCUAGUAGGUGGGGUAAUGGCCCACCUAGGCGACGAUCAGUAGCCGGACUGAGAGGUUGACCGGCCACAUUGGGACUGAGAUACGGCCCAGACUCCUACGGGAGGCAGCAGUGGGGAAUAUUGGGCAAUGGGCGCAAAGCCUGACCCAGCAACGCCGCGUGAAGGAAGAAGGCCCUCGGGUUGUAAACUUCUUUUAAGAGGGACGAAAGAAAUGACGGUACCUCUUGAAUAAGCCACGGCUAACUACGUGCCAGCAGCGGC